rnacentral:lncRNA from 1 species
GUUGGUCAAGCAUACUUUCCCUUGGCGGCAUCAUGCUGAAUGCUGCUGAUGAUUUUCUUGUUGCUCAUAUGCCUGCAGCUCUUUUUCUAGAAUUUGCUGCUCCAGAAUCUUAGAUAUAAAUGAAAAUUCUCUAAAGAAUUUUGGAAAAGAAUAAGAGCAUCCAUACAGCUGAGGGCUGCUUACAGAUCUAUCUGGUGUUGAUAACAUUGUCCUGACUGUAAUCUUCCUCCUUUCUGUAAUAAAUCAGGAGAUGCUUACGAUUGCAGAGAACCAAUCAUGUUGAUUACAAGCACCCUCUGUUCCAAUAACUGCAGUAUUGUGUGAUAAUGAUUGGACUCUGGGAGAAUUCAUACCUUUAAGUGAUGAGACACUUGUCCUUAGAAGAGGAAUAGCGAUUUGAUUGCAUUAGCACUGCACUCAGUUUGUUAAUUUCCUGCCAGCAGAGAAAUGAGAAUAUACAGUCUCUUAGGAACUGCUACUUUGAAAACUCUCCUGUUUCUUCAGGUUCUGUUUGGCUGUCUACGUUUUUUCAUCUGUAUUUGCAUGUAGGAGGAGACCCUUCAGGAGUCACAGGCACCACGAUGACUUGUUGUACCACUGCUUCUACUUCCACCCACUGGCCAACCUCCAGCUCCUGUUUGGUGUCAGUCAGUGUCUGAGCUGGGGCUUUUCCCCUGUGCUAGAGGAAAGAAUUGAGCUUUUGUGAAAUGUUGGCUCUGUCAUCCAGGAGAUUUGGCUUUCUGCUGCGCUGAGCUGUGGAAGAGAGGGUUUUUCAGAGAUGACUUUGAGAAUAACGCUGAGCUUCAGAAUUUUGUGUGUCCUACAGCAGCCAGCUUUAUGUCACCAGCAUACUUCCCUAAAGACUGAGAUUUUGGUUCUAGCUCAACAUAUGGACCUCAGAACGAAGAGGUGACGUGAUUGAUCUCUCUCCCCCCACCUCACAGCAUGUUGCUGACUUCUGCACAGCCCAGCUGAAGAUGGGCAGGCAGCUCCUGGAAGGACACACGAUGCCCUUUCUUCUUCUGAAUGUUGGCUUGCUGUGGGGCUCUGGAGAAAUAACUGAGCUGAGGAGGGGGACAGCGCUGGUGCUUAGAUCUCUAAGGUGUGAUCUCCUGCCUCUAUCCGAGACAGCUCAGGAAUCCAUAUGGUCCUGCCAAGGCAAAGGUCUUCAGCUCCUCACAGAUCUCUCCUCCUCUUGCUGCGGGCAGAAAGCUGGUGCUUUUUCAGGCAAAGCUCAAGAAACAUUAAAUAAAAACACGAAACUGAGGAGCAGCUGAUGGACUGUGGCUCUGGACCCAGAAUAAUUAAGACUGAGGCUGUUAUCACUUCUUUUUGUAUUAUGAACAUUGUGAUGUUAGCGUUGAUAAAAUCAAUGCAUACAUCUUUAAAAAAAGUAUCAGAAAGAAAAAACAGAG